GACCUGCGGAGGAUCAUUAUCGAAUAUGAUUCGAAGAGGUAGAGAGACUGUCGCCUGGCCAGAUCUUGGCAUGUGCACGUCCCCUCACCUUUUCUAUCUACACACACCUGUGCACCUAUUGUAGAUCCCUCUCGAAAGAGAGGGAACUAUGUUUUCAUCACAUCACACACAACGUAUGUCUAGAAUGUAAAAAACAAUAUAUACAACUUUCAGCAACGGAUCUCUUGGCUCUCGCAUCGAUGAAGAACGCAGCGAAUUGCGAUAAGUAAUGUGAAUUGCAGAUUUCCAGUGAAUCAUCGAAUCUUUGAACGCACCUUGCGCUCCUUGGUAUUCCGAGGAGCAUGCCUGUUUGAGUGUCAUCGAAUUCUCAACCAUUCUCUCUUUUCUGGGAGUAUGGCUUGGACUUGGGGGUUGCUGGCAGCACUGUCAGCUCUCCUUAAAUGUAUUAGCAAUCGAGUUGGCUAGUCUUUUGACGUACACGGCCUCGGACGUGAUAAUGAUCGUCGUGGCUGGAGCGUCUUUCCUAGACUAUGUACAUAGAUCGCUUCUAAUCUGUUGUCUAUCGAGGCUUAGCUACUAGGCAGUCUUUUUGGCUGGCGAACGCAAGCGAGACUUCACUUCUCCAGACU
rnacentral:rRNA from 1 species